rnacentral:rRNA from 1 species
UUCUGGCUCAGGAUGAACGCUGGCGGCGUGCCUAACACAUGCAAGUCGAGCGGAAAUACCAAAUGUACUCGUACAGGCGGUAUUUAGCGGCGGACGGUGAGUAACACGUGAGCAACCUGCCUUUUGCUGGGGAAUAACAUUGGGAAACCAGUGCUAAUACCGCAUGACGUCAUAGGGGGACAUCCCCUGGUGACCAAAGGAGAAAUCCGGCAGAAGAUGGGCUCGCGUCCGAUUAGUUAGUUGGCGGGUAACGGCCCACCAAGACCGCGAUCGGUAGCCGAACUGAGAGGUUGAUCGGCCACAUUGGGACUGAGACACGGCCCAGACUCCUACGGGAGGCAGCAGUGGGGAAUAUUGGGCAAUGGGGGGAAACCCUGACCCAGCAACGCCGCGUGAAGGACGAAGGCCUUCGGGUUGUAAACUUCUUUGAUCAGGGACGAAAGCAAUGACGGUACCUGAAGAACAAGCCACGGCUAACUACGUGCCAGCCGCCGC